AUACGGAGGAUCCGAGCGUUAUCCGGAUUUAUUGGGUUUAAAGGGUGCGUAGGUGGCUUGAUAAGUCAGCGGUGAAAGUUUGCAGCUUAACUGUAAAAAUGCCGUUGAAACUGUCGGACUUGAGUGUAAAUGAGGUAGGCGGAAUGCGUGGUGUAGCGGUGAAAUGCAUAGAUAUCACGCAGAACUCCGAUUGCGAAGGCAGCUUACUAAGCUACAACUGACACUGAAGCACGAAAGCGUGGGGAUCAAACAGGAUUAGAUACCCUGGUAGUCCACGCAGUAAACGAUGAUUACUAGCUGUUUGCGAUACACAGUAAGCGGCACAGCGAAAGCGUUAAGUAAUCCACCUGGGGAGUACGCCGGCAACGGUGAAACUCAAAUGAAUUGACGGGG
rnacentral:rRNA from 1 species